AGAGUUUGAUCCUGGCUCAGGAUGAACGCUGGCGGCGUGCCUAACACAUGCAAGUCGAGCGAUCUUCUUCGGAAGAGAGCGGCGGACGGGUGAGUAACGCGUGGGUAACCUACCUCAUACACAUGGAUAACAUACCGAAAGGUAUACUAAUACAAGAUGAUAUAAGAGAUUCGCAUGGAUUUCUUAUCAAAGCUCCGGCGGUAUGAGAUGGACCCGCGUCUGAUUAGCUAGUUGGUAAGGUAACGGCUUACCAAGGCGACGAUCAGUAGCCGACCUGAGAGGGUGAUCGGCCACAUUGGAACUGAGACACGGUCCAAACUCCUACGGGAGGCAGCAGUGGGGAAUAUUGCACAAUGGGCGAAAGCCUGAUGCAGCAACGCCGCGUGAGCGAUGAAGGCCUUCGGGUCGUAAAGCUCUGUCCUCAAGGAAGAUAAUGACGGUACUUGAGGAGGAAGCCCCGGCUAACUACGUGCCAGCAGCCGCGGUAAUACGUAGGGGGCUAGCGUUAUCCGGAUUUACUGGGCGUAGAGGGUGCGUAGGUGGUUUCUUAAGUCAGGAGUGAAAGGCUACGGCUCAACCGUAGUAAGCUCUUGAAACUGGGAAACUUGAGUGCAGGAGAGGAAAGUGGAAUUCCUAGUGUAGCGGUGAAAUGCGUAGAUAUUAGGAGGAACACCAGUAGCGAAGGCGGCUUUCUGGACUGUAACUGACACUGAGGCACGAAAGCGUGGGGAGCAAACAGGAUUAGAUACCCUGGUAGUCCACGCCGUAAACGAUGAGUACUAGGUGUCGGGGGUUACCCCCCUCGGUGCCGCAGCUAACGCAUUAAGUACUCCGCCUGGGGAGUA
rnacentral:rRNA from 1 species